ACAGCAGCCGCCGCGGGAAUACGGAGGGGGCUAGCGUUGUUCGGAAUUACUGGGCGUAAAGCGCACGUAGGCGGCUUGGUAAGUUAGAGGUGAAAGCCCGGAGCUCAACUCCGGAAUUGCCUUUAAGACUGCCGAGCUAGCAGGUGAGAGAGGUAAGUGGAAUUCCGAGUGUAGAGGUGAAAUUCGUAGAUAUUCGGAAGAACACCAGUGGCGAAGGCGGCUUACUGGCUCAUACUGGACGCUGAGGUGCGAAAGCGUGGGGAGCAAACAGGAUUAGAUACCCCAGUAGUCCCUGUCUCUUAUAC
rnacentral:rRNA from 1 species